rnacentral:lncRNA from 1 species
CCGAGCUUUCAUUGUAUGACAAGACAUAAUGCAAGAGGUACCUGAAUAUCCGAGAAAGCACAAACCAAUAAAAAUGAUUUCUACAGUAGACGUAAUCUAGAAUCCCGUAUUAUGUUUUUUGAUCACUCAUUGAAAAUGCAUAUUAUCAUUUAGCAAGAACGUACCCUGAUAAGCAGACGGUAUUAAGAGUAUGUGAAGAAGGAAAUCCGUAUUCCGUUGCAUUUUCUUUCUCAUCUUUAGUGACCGUCAGUGUUCUCACAAGUGGUGAUUUGGGUCUAGGAGCUGACACCACAUCCUAGAAACAUAAGCAAUAAACAUAACAUAUAAACGUAUAUAACAUUCACACAAUGUAAUUAAGAACGAACUUGACGUUAUACCUUUAUACAGUUUCCCGUAUAAUCACAAAACGCCAUCAGGAAU